rnacentral:lncRNA from 1 species
AUGGGUAUGUGUGUGUAUUACCAGAUAAUGGGACACUAUUAUGGGUGCCAUCCUGGAUAUGCAACCAUGGAGAGAAGACAACUCCAAACCCAUGGUGGAGCCAGCUGCCACCAUACCAUCAGUAUGAGCCUUCUCUUCGGUAACUCUGGAAGAAACAUCUUAGCCACUGAGAACCACACAAAUGUCUGCUGCAGGGGAAGCCAAACCAGACAAUGCCUAGAUGCUGUUCAGCCACAAGUCACUGUGUUUCAACUGCUGCAAUUUCAAAAACAAAACAAAAAAAAGGAUGAACUGUUGGGCUACUAACUCAGAUCUCACAGUCUCAAGGUUGGUGUUAUCUUGACUCAGGACAGGGAACAAAUCUGUUUCCCUGGGCUAUGGGCAGAAUGCUGAGGCAAAAUAGCAUCUGCUGAGGACAGUUGUCAGUAUACAGGCAUUUGAGUAUAGAGAAAAUCUGGUUCCUCAUUAACUUAUUCCUUGCCCAUCCAUUCUCUAUAGUUGCCAUUCCAUGAAAUGCAACUUCUCCCUCCCUUGCACUUCUCACUGGCUAAUAAAAGCGGACCAACCAUAGAGUUCUGUUCAAGUCUAUCCACUAGAGGCCGAUCUCCCUGUCUCCCACCCUUUAUACCUUGAAAACUGUCUCUUUUUAUUCCUCGCCAUUCCCCCCAAAAAGAUAGCUGAGGGUCUGAUCAGCCCUCAGUGAAGACCUGUGUUCUCUCUAGGAUUUAAACAAAAUACAGUUGUAUGCAAAUUACUUGAUGUGACAGUUAAUCUUGAUUGUCAACUUGAUUGGUUUAAGAGGCACCUAAAAAACUGGUAGAGUACACUUCUGGGUGUGUCUGGAUAGGUAAUGUAGCCAUGACCUUGGGAACUAUUUCUGGUCCCUGGCCCCCUCCCCUAUACUGCUGUCCUAUGCUCUACUUCCUGGACACCAUGAAGUGGGCAGCUGUACUGUACCAUCUCUUCUUCUAAGUGUUCCUGUUCUGGAGCCAGGUGACAGUGCCCUAAUGCCCCUGAAACCAUAAGCCAAAAUAAACCUCUCCUGCUUUAUUAGGGGUAUCACAUAUUUUGCCUCACCAACUGGGAAGCUAAUUAAUACACUUAGGGUAGAAAGUACCAGGAAAAUAUUAACUUGCAUGGUAAAAGACAAUCAAUAGACACUAACCCAAACAUGAGGCUGAUGUUGAAAUUAUUUGACAAGGACUUUAAAACAGCUAUUCUACUAAUGCAUCAACCAAAAAUUGUAAACUGUCUUAAAACAAAUGGAAAAAUAGAAAGUUUCAGCAAGGAAAUAGAGGACCACAACAAAAAUAUCAAUAAUUUAGAAUUGAAAAAUACUAUAACCAGAAUGAACUUUGCCGAAACUUUGAUACAUCUAAAAGAAGGACAGAGGCCUGGGAAUGUAAGUUAAAGAGAGAAUGGAGAUGACAAAAAAAGAGUCAGUGAUCGAUGGGGUAUGGGAGGGGGUGUAAAAAAAAUGAACAAAGACCAAGCAUGGUGGCACACACCUGAAAUUCCUCCCAGCUGCUAGGGAAGGUAAGGCAGGAAGAUUGCCAGCCUGGGGAACUUAAAACCCUGUAUCAAAAUAGAAAAAUUAAAAAGGUUAGAGAUGUAGCUCAAUAGUGGAGUACUUCUGUACUCAAUCCCCAAUACUGUAAAAUAAUAAUGUAAUAAUAAAACCUCAGGGAUUUGUGAUUUAAUAGCCAAAGGUUUUUGUGUUUUGUGUUUGUUUUGAGGCAAAGUCUUACUCUGUUUCUCAGGCUGGCCUUCAUAUCACUAUGGAUCCCAGGCUGGCCUUGAACUCACAGCAGACCUCCUGCCUACUGAGAUCACAGGUAUACCACACCUGGCAAUGGCAAGAGACUUAACGUUCAUGUCAUCAGUGUCCCAGAAGGAGAUACAGUAUGAUGAAAAAAUAUUUGAAGACAUAAUGAGUUCAAACUUCCCAAUUUUUGCAAAAAACCCCCGACCAAACAAAAAACACACUGUAAACAUAGAGAAUUAAGAAAUUCAGUGAACUCCAAGUUGGAUAAAGCUAAAGAAACCCAUACCCAGAAAUCACAACAACCAAUUGAAAACUAAGGACAACAAUAACAAAAUCUUAAAAGGAUCCAAAGAAGAUUCAAGAGCUGUCAUGUAAAGGUACAAGAGCAUCCCAAUGAUAAAUGUUAAAAAGUACCAAUAAACUCAAUGAAAAAAAAAAGCAUCCAGAGAAAAGUAAUGUACUACCUAUAGUAAGAGGCCAAUGACUCAGUGCAGAUUUCUAUCAGAGUUGAAGAGAUCAGAGUUAAAGAAUGUAACAUUUUGGAGGAGGGGGUGAAGGGAGGGCAGGGGUAAGGGGAAAAAAUGAGAAUCAAGACUUGUCAUGUAGAGGCACACAAGAUCCCAACAAUGAAUGUAACUGUACUGUAUCCCUAAAAUGUACCAAUAAACUCAGUUAAAGCUGAAAGAAAAAAAAGAAUGUAACAUUUUUCAAGCAUGAAAAGAAAAGAACUGUCAACUCAGAACUAUAUAGCCAACUAGCUAUCCUUCAGGAAUAAAAAUAUUCUCAGAUGAAGGAAAACAUUAAGACAAUUCCUUCAGUAGAUCUGUUCUAAAGAAUUACUAAAUAUAAGGUCUGGGGAUUUAGCUCAGUGGUUGUACCGCCUGCCUUAUAAGUACAAGGACCCAAGUUUGAUCCCCAGUACCAAAAACAAAACAAAAAAAAGAAUUACUAAAUAUAGUUCUUCAGAGAGAAAUGGUACUAGAGAGAGAAAUUUUAUUGAAGUGUUCAAUCCACUUGCAUUUAAGGAAAUUAUUGUUAUAUUUGGAUUUUACCCUAUCAUUUUAUUCCUUGUUUUCUACAUGUUCCCUCUGUAAUUAUUUCCUAUUUUCUCUUUUUGGGGGGAGUUUUAAACAUUUUUUUCAUGUUACAUCUUAAUUCACAGUGAUCUCAACUCUAUCAAACAUUUGUUUGUUUGUUUGUUUGUUUUUCCAAUUGAUUGUUCUAUGGCAAACAUGUCCAACUUGUGGUUCACAGGCCACGUGCAGCCCUGGACAGCUAGUAAUACAUUCCCAUGUGCUGGUAAACUUAAAUGUUAUUCUGUGAUUUUUAGCAAUAUUUUUAAUGAUUUGAUUGCUAAUUGGCAGUAGCAGAACCCUGUGUUCAGGAGGGAGUGGUGCGGUGCUAACUCCACCUACCAAUAUCAAAGGUUCCAUGAGCUGUGUGACUUGGUAAGUAAAGGUGAUUGAUUACCAAUAACAGUUAUUUUCACCUACCUACACGUGUGUGCCUGUGAAGACAGGUGUUUACUGUCAUUAAGCAGACAUGGAAGGUGUUUUAUUUCAUUAUUAAAUGUGGGCUUGUAUUAUUUUUUAAUGAGUUAAACAUUAAAAAGAAUUUUGUUAUCUAUAUAUUUUAACUACAGUAUUCAUUUAAUAUAUGACCCAAGACAUUUUUUCUUCACUCAGUGCAGUCCAGAGAGGUAAAAAGAUUUUUAGCUAUGCUGUACGUAGGGGAAUGAUACACAUACGUAACUUUUCACAGUCCAUGUAAAAUCAAUAUUUUACCACUUCAAGUAGGAUGAAGAAACCUACCAACAUAUGGUUCCUCAUAUCCUUCCUCUUCAUAUUGUCUUAUCUCUCACAUGUACAUACACUGAAACCCUUUAAGGCA